rnacentral:piRNA from 1 species
UGCACUCCAGCCUGGGUGACAGAGUGUC